rnacentral:rRNA from 1 species
GACGAACGCUGGCGGCGUGCUUAACACAUGCAAGUCGAACGGAGAUUCAGCAAUGGAUCUUAGUGGCGAACGGGUGAGUAACGCGUAGGCAAUCUGCCUUCUAGAUGGGGACAACAUCCCGAAAGGGGUGCUAAUACCGAAUGUUGUAGUUGGUUCGCAUGUACUAGCUACUAAAGGUGGCCUCUGAAUAUGCUACCGCUAGAAGAUGAGCCUGCGUGUGAUUAGCUAGUUGGAGGGGUAACGGCCCACCAAGGCUUCGAUCAGGAGCCGGGCUGAGAGGAUGAAUGGCCACACUGGGACUGGGACACGGCCCAGACUCCUACGGGAGGCAGCAGUGGGGAAUCUUACGCAAUGGACGAAAGUCUGACGGAGCAACGCCGCGUGAGUGAAGAAGGUUUUCGGAUCGUAAAGCUCUUUCGUUAGGGACGAACGUGCUCUUUGUGAAUAAUGAGGAGUAAUGACGGUACCUAAAUAAGAAGCCACGGCUAACUACGUGCCAGCAGCCGCAGUAA